AUUGAACGCUGGCGGCAGGCCUAACACAUGCAAGUCGAGCGGAUGAAGGGAGCUUGCUCCUGGAUUCAGCGGCGGACGGGUGAGUAAUGCCUAGGAAUCUGCCAGGUAGUGGGGGAUAACGUCCGGAAACGGGCGCUAAUACCGCAUACGUCCUGAGGGAGAAAGUGGGGGAUCUUCGGACCUCACGCUAUCAGAUGGGCCUAGGUCGGAUUAGCUAGUUGGUGGGGUAAAGGCCUACCAAGGCGACGAUCCGUAACUGGUCUGAGAGGAUGAUCAGUCACACUGGAACUGAGACACGGUCCAGACUCCUACGGGAGGCAGCAGUGGGGAAUAUUGGACAAUGGGCGAAAGCCUGAUCCAGCCAUGCCGCGUGUGUGAAGAAGGUCUUCGGAUUGUAAAGCACUUUAAGUUGGGAGGAAGGGCAGUAAGUUAAUACCUUGCUGUUUUGACGUUACCAACAGAAUAAGCACCGGCUAACUUCGUG
rnacentral:rRNA from 1 species